GACAGAGGGUGCGAACGUUGCUCGGAAUUACUGGGCGUAAAGCGCACGUAGGUGGCGACGUAAGUCGGGUGUGAAAGCCCCGGGCUCAACCUGGGAACUGCAUCCGAAACUGCCUUGCUCGAGUAUGGGAGAGGGAAGUGGAAUUUCCGGUGUAGCGGUGAAAUGCGUAGAUAUCGGAAGGAACAUCAGUGGCGAAGGCGACUUCCUGGACCAAUACUGACGCUCAGGUGCGAAAGCGUGGGGAGCAAACAGG
rnacentral:rRNA from 1 species